AUUGAACGCUGGCGGCAGGCCUAACACAUGCAAGUCGAGCGGACGAAGGGGGCUUGCUCCUGGAUUCAGCGGCGGACGGGUGAGUAAUGCCUAGGAAUCUGCCUGGCAGUGGGGGAUAACGUCCGGACACGGGCGCUAAUACCGCAUACGUCCUGAUGGAGAAAGGGGGGGAUCUUCGGAGCUCACGCGAUUAGAUGAGCCUAGGUCGGAUUAGCUAGUUGGUGGGGUAAAGGCCUACCAAGGCGACGAUCCGUAACUGGUCUGAGAGGAUGAUCAGUCACACUGGAACUGAGACACGGUCCAGACUCCUACGGGAGGCAGCAGUGGGGAAUAUUGGACAAUGGGCGAAAGCCUGAUCCAGCCAUGCCGCGUGUGUGAAGAAGGUCUUCGGAUUGUAAAGCACUUUAAGUUGGGAGGAAGGACAGUAAGUUAAUACCUUGCUGUUUUGACGUUACCAACAGAAUAAGCCCCGGCUAACUUCGUG
rnacentral:rRNA from 1 species